rnacentral:lncRNA from 1 species
UGGGAUUUGGGAGGCUUAGAACUUAAUGAAAGAGUGGAGGUGCAUGUGACAUUGUGACACACCGAGAAGAGAGCGAGUCGGGCGGUGGGGGGUGGUUUCCACUUUCCACUUGAUGAUGAUGACAAUAAAAUUUAAAAGAAAAAAGAAAAGAAAAUAAGAAGAAGGGUCAAAAGGGUCAGAUAGGAGGGGCAACACACAGGUGGGACAAAUCGGCGAGUGCUACCAGAAAAAGCAAGCCAAGAGAAAGUUGAAAAUGGCUUUUCACCGGCCUUCCCAAAUCCAAAAUCCCAAUGCCUCUCAAAACGUUCUCUCUAUACCAAUCAAAAAGCCCUGAACUUUCCCAGACACACACACACUUUCUCUCUCUUUCUCUCUCUCUCUCUUUCUCCUUCAUUUCUAAACGUAAAACCCCGCCCAACAAACCUCGCAACCAAAGGUUUCUCUCUACAUUCUGCAAUGGCUGUCAAGGGAAUCUUCUUCUCUUCCAUUUUCAUUGCCUCCAGUGAACAAAAUGCCCUUGGUCCGAAUGAGGUACCAUUUCGCCAUACCUUUGUAAAUCGAAGGUCGUUUUCGUGCAUUUUCAGAUGAGAGGCGUAAAAUGUAGUCUCUCUCUGUAAAUCCUCCCCCUCGUUGUGUGGUAAAAGGCAGACAGGAUGGAGCCAGGCAAUAUAUAUAUAUUUAUAUAUUUAUAUAUAAAGUUUUUUCUUUUUCACUCACAAAACUCUCACACCCCUUUUGUUAUUUCUGCUUCCUUUUUUUUUUUUUCCUUUCUAUUUUUGGGUUUUGGUUUUUCGUGUUUUCGUUUUUUGCGAGACUGUAAAAGAGGUGGAGGAGGAGCACACCACUCGUCAUCGAUAAUGGUUAUCGAUCGUCAUCCAUGGAAAUGCAAGGAGGAACACAGUGUAUGAAUGAAGCAUUUUGGUGGCUUCAUAUAUGUAUGUAUUUAGGGAUGUUGUGCCCUUAUAUAGUUAAUGAGAUGAUGAGAUGAUGAUGAUGAUGAUGUAUGCUUUUCUAAAUUUUCCAUUGAUUCAAAUGGGCAUAUGGAUAUAUAAAAAAUACAUAGUUCUUCUAUAUGUGGUUUUGCCCUUUCUGUUGGAUUUUGUUUUCUGUUUAUUUUUGGUUCAUGUGUUGCUGGUCAGGUGAGCAUUGUUAAAUCUGUGGGUUCUUUUUGCCAUUUUAUCUUACUCCUUUCCUUACUUGUUGAAGCAAAUGAAAGGGGCUUUUUGGGGGGAAAAGAAGCCACCUCAAAGUAAAGACUAUUCCAUUUUUGCCUUUACAAGCAUAUGAAAUUAGCGCAUUUGGUUGCUUCCAGCAUUUCAGAUGAUCCCUUCUUUUAUUUCCUUUUUUCCCCUUUGCUGGUCUCUUGUGAAAAAUGGGACAAAAAUGGAAAUGACAGAAUCUUCACAUUUUCCAUGUGUUUCUCUGAGAAAUGGGCUUCGAUUGUUGGGAGAAUGGUGCUUAUUUUGAUUUGUUAUUUUAUCUGCGUGUUUGUUGUUUGUUUCCAUCUAAAAUUUAAUUUUAGAUUAGAUCUUCUGAUUUGUAAAUAAAAAUUUUUGGAAGGCAUAAUUUUGUUGUUUUAGGCUUUUUUUUUUCCCUUACUCGUCUAUUUUAUUUUAUGGCAUUGUUUAUCCAGGAAGAUCUACUGUGACAUCUCCAAAUGAUGCCAAAAGAAAAAGUGAUAUGCUUUGAAUUUCCAACACAAUGCAUAUCCUGGUUCUGGUGAAUCAAGGCAUAUUCAUUGAAGGGGCACAAGUGACCCUGACCAAUAUCCUUAUUUCAUCUUUGCAUAGAAAUCUCCUUUUUUAUGGGUGUUCCAUGGGAUUGGGGGCAGGAGGAAUGUCUCUAGCUGUACAUGGUGAAUUGGGGUGGAGGCACCCGUUGGGUCAUCAUGAAGCAGCUUAGUGAUCCCUACAGGGGGUUGCCCUUAGACAAAUUGCUUUAACUGAUAUGGUUGUAUCUUUAUGACUUCAAGCUUUGAAUGGUGAUGGUGGAAAUGUUGUCUUUAACUUCAGCUACUGCAAAUUAGAUCUGUUCAUGCUUAUACCCAUUUGUUUACAAUUAGUACACUUCCCCAAAUUUCCACAGAUCAAAUUCUGCUUGUGAAGUGAUCAAAGUUCAAUCCAAAGUGGUAUUCUCAAGCCAUAUGAAUCUAAUUGGUUUUAUGGUUUUACACUUCUGUUGGCUUUAUUGAACUCCCCAGGAUGAAGUUCACCUGAUUGGUAUCAUGGUUUUAUACUUCUGCAGGCUUCAUUGAACUUCCAUGAAUGGAGUUCACUUUCAGCCUCACAGGAUGUCACCUUGAAAACUGUAAAACCUUGAAAUGUUGAGAGCUUUCAAGUUGAUCCCUGUUAUUACUAUCAACAUGAAAAGAGAAAUGGUCAUGCUCCAGUUCAAGGGAUGACAUCCUCUGAAAAGCAAAAAGCCACUUCUGGAUUUUAUUUUUGUCUUUUAUCAUCUAUCCGGAGGUUUGACUAGAUUUUCCCAAGCAUAAAGCCUUCAUGACUGGCAAACAACUAUCAAAUGAGGCUAAUACCAUUCAGGAUUUCUUGAAUGAAUCAUAGAUGAUCAAAUUUUGUUUUUCAUGAUUCAAUAUAUAGGAACCUUCAUAGCCAUGUGUUUUAUUAUGGCAAAGAUCAAAAUUAACUGACUCAACCGGAACCAUUCCUGAAUAUAUGCUUUUGCCAAAAUGAAUGUUCUAGAGAGGUGCCUACUGUGAUGAAUUAAAUAUUAUGCUAGCAUUUUCUGUAUGCUUGUGAUCUCAUAGCAAGACCCAUGUGAUGGAGCUACAUGUUAAUUUUUCCAAUUUUGAUGUGCAUUUACCUGGGUUGUGCACGUAGCUUCAUUUCUACUUGAUUAUAUAGUAGAGAAGUGUGUUGAGACAGGAAGGAUAAUGAAGUGCUUCAACCAUGCUAUAUCCGCUUGUCCAGAACGAAAAAAAACAUAUAAUUGCAUCUGAAGACAUCAAGUAUACUGACCCCUUCUUGCUCCUUCGCCACUAUCAAACGUUGUCAUCACUGUGCUAUGUCUCAACCACCUUUUGGCUGGUUUGUUUAUAUUGUUCAGACUUCCUUAGGGUUGGGAGUUUGUGAUCUUGUUAGCACCAUUCCUUUUUUCUUCUUGUUUGUGUGCAACUAUAUAUAUAUACACACACACACACAUACAUGUGUGUAUGUAUAAGUUCUUAGCCAUUUCCUUUUUAUUCUUUCCUUACAUCAAUAAUAUUUUCUUUUAUUGAAUUCAUUUUAGGGCUGCACAGGCUUUGUGUUAAGCAAUCUUAUGCAUAUUAGUGUCUGCUUCUUAAAAAUAUAUAUAUAUUUCAUAAGUUUUGUUCUGUUAUGUAACGAAAAUUGGUUUUUUUGUUUUGUUUUGUUUUGUUUUGUUUUAUUUGAGAUGCAAGUGUUUCCAUCAUCUAAGGUGUACUUGUUAGACAAAAAUGAUGUACUUCAGAAUCCUGUGCAGUGAUUUCCCCCUGUUGCUAUCUUUUACUACCCAUUAACAAUCCUAGUCUGCCAAGAAAUGACACACAUUAUAACUAUUGAUACCUCUGGUUCCAACACGCUACUCUGAAUGGUUUAAAUGCAUGUUUCAUCUACACAUGACUCUCUGAGUCUCUCUGUACUGGUGGCAUCUUUAACUAUUUUGUUUUGUUUUUUUUAGCGUAUAUUUAUUUCUUUUCAUAUGUUUGGGAUUUUGCAAUUGCUUGAAUGUGUGGACUAGAACUAGAACAUCUCUGUGCUGUGUCAUUGGGCUGAGCUCAAUGUAAUUCUUUAACAUUUCCCCCAAUUCACAGGACAUGGUACCUGGUGUUGCCUUGGGUAUGAUUGCAUAGAUAUUCUUAUGAAGCCACAGUAAUGUGAUAUCUCAUGUAUAGUUAGUUUGAGUGGUUGAUGAUAUUUGUGCAUGAUGACAGAAGUUAACUCCAUUUGAUUUAUUAUGAUCUUAUGAUGAGAUUAACAAGUUCCACUUCACCAACCAACCCGUCAUGAGAUUUCAUGUUUCAGCUCAUCACCUCUACAAACAGGAUGAUCGAGAAUCUUUCUGGCAAGGCAGUCUAUGCUCAAGCUUGGUGAUCAACAAUUUUAACCCCUUGCAUAUAUUAUGGCCAUUGACAAGGAUUAAAGUUUCGCAAAAUGUGGCCAUUAUCACCAAAAGUACGGUGUAUUAGCCAAGCCCCAUACGAAAAAGGGGUGAAGAUCUCGGUUGAUUGAAAAUAUUUUGCUUCCGCACGCCAAAUCCUAUUGAAUGAAUUAGUUUUAAUUAUCUUAUUUUCAAAUUUUUGGAUAUUUUCAUAAAAUACAAUUACCAAUAUUUUUAAAAUUUUAACCCUUGGAGGCCACACUGCUCCCUAAUGCAGGCGAUGGAACUCUAAUUAUUAGAACACUAUUCUUUUGAUAUCAUUUGGUCUGGGGUGAGUCGAAAGUUGGAAUUCAGUUUGUGGGUUAUAACUUAUAUGAAAGGAUAAGAAGGCCCAAUUCUAGGCUCUCUAUUUUUAUAAAUUUCAAGAUAAUCCAUCCUGGGCCGAGCCCGUACCCGCCUCUGCGUCCUACCUGAGGCUAGUGAUACAAGCGUCGGACCUACUUGAUUGACAGCCCACCUAUCCAACAACAAUGCAUGUGCCCUGGUCAUCCAUCUACAAUAAUGCGCCCUCCUACCUCCUCGUUCUCGAUCUUACCCUUCCACUUAUAGCCAACGCUCAGUUGGAGGUUUAAUGGCAAUGAUGCAAUUUCGUAAUAACUCCCGCCUGUUUUAAUAACAAAAUUAAAAGCAGGCGGGAUAAUUAGCCAUUUAAAAAAUUUGCGAGUGGUUGCGUUAGCCAGCUGGAAACCGCGGUCAACUUAACCGGGGUUAACGGCAGAUCUUUUCCACAUCUUUUCCAUCUCUCUUUGCGCCGCUGCUCUAUAUAAAGCAAAGCAUCACCAGAUUCACCACAGAUACGCAGCCAAGGGCGUCUUGAUAAACGCCGAUCAUCCUUCGCAUUUGCUUUGAAUUUUCUCCCCUCCAUCUGCAGCAAAAAUGAGAGAGUGCAUUUCCAUUCACAUUGGUCAGGCCGGUAUUCAGGUUGGCAAUGCGUGCUGGGAACUUUACUGCCUCGAGCAUGGCAUUCAGGUAAUUAAUUGAAAAUUUUGUUUGUCGAUUCUCUGGUUUCUGUUUUUAAAUGCUCCUGCUUUUUUUGAAUUUUUUCAUUUCCAUAUUUCACCAGAUCCAGAUUUUGUGUAUUGUGCGCAUUUGUGAACAGAUACUGCCAUAAUUUUUCUAUGGACUAAUGGAUGACGUUUUGUUGUAAUUAGAUCUUUCUAUAUUCUUCCAAGUUUAUGCUUCGAUUAUAUGGUCUGACGCUUCCACCUGAUUCGUUUUUGAAUUUGUAUCUUUAUUAUAUCCAGAUCUGCAAAGAAAUCUUAAUUUUUGUCUUAUAGUUUCAUAUUUACCAGAUCCAGGGUUUUCCGCUUUCUGUAAUUUGCGUUAACAGGAAGUAAACACCAUUGCUGAAUAACGUUUACAUGCUAGGGUCGAGCAGACUAUGUCAUUUUAUCAUUUUGAUUUCAGAAUUUGUUACAUGUUCCACAUGUGUUACUAGAUCUAAAUUUUAUUUUAUACUGGCACUGGUAUAACUGAUCUAAUGACUAGGGUUUAAUUGUGAUUAUCUCAUAUUUUUUAGGGCUCUUCCAUGUUUAAGACAGAAUCGUUGUUUUCUGACAUGUUUCAGAUAUUUCCACUAUAUCUGGUGUUGAACAUCGUGGAUCUACAAAGAAAUGUUAAUUUGAGUCCUUGAAUUCUUAUUGCUGCAUUGUGACCUAGUUUUACCAAUCUAGAAUAAAAGUGGGUGUUUCAUGGUGUUAGGGUCACAUCAUUCAAUCAUUCAGAUCUUAGAAUUCCUCCUAGAUAGAAAGUGGAAUUGCUUUUAUUUUUGUAUAGUGAUUGCAAUAGUAGAUUACUGAUUUAAAUUUUGUGUGCUGCUCUCUCCUCUGUAUAUGUUAGAAAAUUGUAUAUAACAUUUUCUGUAAUUCACUUUUCUGAAAAUCUUUUCCCUUUGCUCAGCCUGAUGGCCAGAUGCCAAGUGAUAAGACUGUUGGCGGAGGAGAUGACGCAUUCAACACCUUUUUCAGUGAAACUGGUGCUGGGAAGCAUGUCCCUCGUGCCGUUUUUGUAGAUCUCGAGCCCACCGUGAUUGAUGAAGUGAGGACUGGAGCAUACCGACAGCUCUUCCACCCAGAACAACUCAUCAGUGGCAAGGAGGAUGCAGCUAACAACUUUGCCCGUGGCCAUUACACCAGUAAUUAGCACAUGUUCCUCCUCUUUUUAUGCUUAAAGUUUCAGGUUUACCUUAAUUUUAAUGAUUGUGUGUUGGGUUUGUACCAGUUGGGAAAGAGAUUGUUGACCUCUGUUUGGACCGUAUCAGAAAGCUUGCCGACAACUGCACUGGUCUUCAGGGUUUCCUGGUCUUCAAUGCUGUUGGAGGUGGAACUGGUUCUGGCCUUGGGUCUCUUUUGUUGGAGCGACUAUCUGUUGACUACGGCAAAAAGUCAAAGCUUGGAUUCACUGUUUACCCCUCCCCUCAGGUUUCAACAUCUGUUGUUGAGCCCUAUAACAGUGUCCUUUCAACCCACUCCCUGCUUGAGCACACUGAUGUAGCUGUGCUUCUGGACAAUGAAGCAAUCUAUGACAUUUGCAGGCGAUCCCUUGACAUUGAGCGCCCAACCUACACCAAUCUCAAUCGCCUGGUGUCUCAAGUAAGAAACCUUUCCUUUUAACUAAUUGAUAUCUUAUUGUGAAUUACCUUGAUUGAUGUGUUUGCUAAUCUCGGGCCUAAUACAGGUGAUUUCAUCACUCACUGCCUCAUUGAGAUUUGAUGGUGCCUUGAAUGUGGAUGUGACUGAAUUCCAGACCAACCUGGUUCCUUACCCAAGGAUUCACUUUAUGCUUUCUUCAUAUGCCCCCGUCAUUUCCGCUGAGAAGGCAUAUCAUGAGCAGCUCUCUGUGGCGGAGAUCACCAACAGUGCCUUUGAGCCCUCGUCUAUGAUGGCCAAAUGUGACCCACGCCAUGGCAAGUACAUGGCAUGCUGCCUGAUGUACCGAGGUGAUGUGGUGCCCAAGGACGUGAAUGCAGCUGUAGCCACCAUCAAGACCAAGCGCACUAUCCAGUUUGUUGACUGGUGCCCUACUGGAUUCAAGUGUGGUAUCAACUACCAGCCACCAACUGUUGUUCCAGGAGGUGACCUUGCCAAGGUGCAGAGGGCUGUUUGCAUGAUCUCUAACUCAACCAGUGUUGCCGAAGUGUUCUCGCGCAUUGACAACAAAUUUGAUCUUAUGUAUUCUAAGCGUGCUUUUGUCCACUGGUAUGUUGGUGAGGGCAUGGAGGAAGGAGAGUUCUCUGAAGCUCGUGAGGAUCUUGCUGCCCUGGAGAAGGAUUAUGAGGAAGUUGGUGCAGAGUCUGCUGAGGGGGAUGAAGGUGACGAAGGAGAUGAAUAUUGAUUGAGGGUUGUGUUGGCUUUCAUUUGUGCAUGCUGUUAUGAUGUUUCGUUUCUAUGGUUGGUUUUUCUUAAAGUUGCUGCUAUCAUUGUAUGUUCAUUUCCUGUUUUCUUUGUUGAGACAACUUAUUAGUGUUGGGCGCUCUGGUUGUUUCACGUAAUUAAUGCCUGAGCAGUGGGGUAAUAUUCUCCUACGUGUAAGCAACUUGCAAGGUGCCAUUUUCGUUAAAUAUUAGGGAUAACGUUGCAGAUGAAACUUCCUCGAGAACGAACCAAAAACAGACCCGGUUUGAGAUGUGAGAAUUGACUGCACCGAUGAGUCCGUCAAUGCUUCAUGGUCAAACCGGAUCAGUCGCAUUUUCGUUGUUAGGAUUGAACCGCCUCGGACCGGGUGACCUGGCCAGGCUGGUUUUGCCUGGGUCCGCAAGGGGUAUUUUUUUAAUUCGCCCGAUCAGUUUUUAUACUUCAUUUAAUAUUUUAAUUAUAGUGUGUAUAUAUGUAUAUUAUGCUAUUUUAAAAUUUGUAAAACAAAUACAAAUGUUUAUUUGCAUUCAAAAUAGAACUUUAAAUCAUAAUAUUAAACUUACUCAAAAUAUACAUACAUAUAAAAGUAAAUGAACAUGUAUACAAAUGAAAAUACAAAAUAAAAAGUUGACAUCAUCUUUGAUCAUGAUUGAAUCACUGAUCCAACCAAUAAUAAACCCUGAUCCAAAUUCAAUCUGGUUUUUAAAAACAGUAGUUGUGAUUUUUGUAUGAGAACUUUUUAUUCAUUCUAUAAACUCUCCUUUUUAUCCCCCAAGAAUGGAGUGUAGGCGUUAGGUUUACUCCAAGGUCAAUACGUAGAUUUUGUGUGCACUACCCUUAUUUCGGUCUUGGCUUGUGUGAGAACCGGUGUGUAUUUUGCUUUCCCUUCAACAAAUCGACAACGGUUCGAGAGACGUAGCCAGCAGAGGCACCCAUGAUGCUGGUUCCAGAGCUCAAGUUUACCGGCUGAAGCCCUUAAUUCCCAUUUUUUGAUGUGAUUUACAAUCAACCAUCUGCGCGUGAAUCAGCAAAGAAAGGCAAAGGGUGGUUGAAGACAACCGAUUGGAAUUUGAAACCUCGUUUAAACAUACCCACUGAUCCAAACACGUUAUACCUAAAAUACACCUUUACUCUUCUAUCUCUUCUCCACCCUUCUUUUUCCCAUAAAAAACUCUAACCUUGUAGAUGAAAUAGGAAUAGACAAAGUUUUGAAUGCAAAUAGUGAAAAAGAGAGGUUUGAAUAUAAAAAACUUAACAAAUAAAAACAAUUAUACAUGUUCAAGGUUCAAUGCAAUCCCAAAUUAUAAUGUUAAAUGUUUGAAAGUAUAGUUUCGAAUAUUAUGCCAUGAAUAGUGUUUGGAUCAGUCCUCCUUCAAUAUAAAUUUCGAAAAUUUAAAGAUAAAAUACAAAAAAAAAAAAGUUUCAAAAACUACAUUUAUGAUACUAAUAUCCUUUAUCAAAUAGGAGAAAAAAAAUUUUGACACUCUAUGCAUGUAUGGGGUUUAUUUGGCUUUGUAGAAGUUACUUGUUUGAGACACAACAAAAUCGUUAUGCCUUAUAAUAUCCCACAUUGAAUACACAAAAAAAAAAAUUCUAAUUUUAUACAUAUAGACUUCUCAUCUUAUGAUAGCCCACAUUGAACAUAGAAAAAGAAUUUCUAACAUUAUAUAUGUGCCGUAAUUUAAAAUCAUGAAGGUAACUUUGAUUCAAAAGAAACAAUAUUUAUAUGGUCCUUACAAUACUUCUUUCCUUUCAAAAUGAAGAGAAUGAUUUGCUUAUUCAUUUUUUCAUUAACACAGUUUUUCACCAAGUUUGUCGUAGAAUUGGGUUGUACCAAAGAGGAAAAAGGGAAUGGGGUGUAUAUAAAUGUGUAAAACAAUCUUUUCAGUAUAAGGUAAUUGUGUCACAAAAGUUUAUAACUUAGACCGACAGAUUUAAAUCUUUCCUUCAAAUUUUUCCCCUUCCCCUUCAAACUUUCAUAAAGAAUCAAUGUAGCCAUAGUAGCACCCAAAUAAUUAAGUCGAAUCCCCAGUUUGGAAAGAUAAUGAUUGAUUCACAAUCUAGUGCUUCGUCCAACAAUUUAUCUUGUUUGCACCUGGUAGCAACCUUCAUGGAAAACAACAAACAAAAAGCAAUAUGAACAAGCAAAUGAUUCCCAUCUCUCCCAAUUAUUGUAUGCAAAUAUAGCUUCAUUGUCGUUCUAUAAGCAAUAGCAGAAUCAACACCAAAAUGGAUGGUAUAUUUAAAUUUAUUGGCUAACUAAUAAAGGGGUCCAUGGACAUGGACUACAGCUACCAUCUCCUUUCCUAAGUCUUGAACCUUUAGACACGGCACUUGCUAUGAUGUUUAGGCCCGACCCAACUUUUGGACAAGGUGCUUCUCAAUUUCCAUUCUCUUCUUCAUCAACAAGCCAUACUUGGAGACCAGUGGUUUGUCUCCAGCAGUGACCGCAAGCUUGCAGCUGAGAGAUGUCUUUUCCAACUUGUCCUUGUACAAGCACGAGGUAGGCACGAACUUGCCCCUUGUGUUGCACAGCCAACCAUGAGCAGCCCGCAAAGCAGCACCAAGGGAAGCGGAAUCUAUCAAGAAAAACAUAUAUUAUUUGUGUAAUAUUAUAAACAAGGGAUAACACAUAAGGAAAUGGGAAAGGAAACGCCAUUAUGUAAUCCUUUACUCACCGGGUCUUUGGACUGUAUACACAUCGCAGCCAAAAAUGGAAGCUAUUGACUUGAGAAUGCUAUGAUUUGCUGAUGCUCCACCAGUUGCUAUUAUCCGUUUUGGAGGAGAAGGCAUUCCAAAUCUUUCUGCAUGACCUCGCAUGGAGAGAAAUUGGCCCUCAAUCACUGCCCGGACCUGCACUUGAUUAGAAAUGAGUACUCGUCCGGUGUCAUAUCAGCCUCAGGGAAAUGGAUUACAGACACAAGAGAACUAACCUCAGAAGAUGGAUCAAAUUCCUCCACUUCACAUUCAUUUAUCCCAUCCAAAUUCUCACCUGUGAAGCCUUGAAGAACAUAACGAUGGAAACCAACUGCAAUGCACAAACAACUUUCAAGUUCAAUCAUUCAAUUGUUCUUCUGAUGAUAAAUGAAAAGUGAUAUGCAGUCAUUGAUAUCUGCAUAAUUAAGCCUCAUCUCAACCAUGUUAGUAUACAAGAUAAGAAAAUGGAUGGCCCUGACAUCCAUGGCUGCCACCACUUGGACACAUCAAGUAUUUGGAACCUAAGCAUUUGAAUUCUCCAUUGGUCCAUUUGGCAAUUUCUGGGGAUUGAAUGGACCUUCAAACCUUAGACAUGUUGCAUACCUUGGUAUGGGUAGUUUACAGGAAAAUCUUGAAUGUAGAUGCCUAAUCCAAGAACUACUCACAAGAGAUGACAGCGCACACAAUUUGUUCUUAAAUGAUCCAUGAGAAGUUUUUGACAGACCAAAAGAAUGGUGAUUUUAGGAAUUAUAGUGGUGAGUUCAUUUGAGGACACCAAAGGGGGGCCUGAUUUAUGUAAUAGUAUAGAUAUAGGCAAGAAAAAUUUGGCAAAUAUGUUGCCAGACCACCAUUUCAAAAUAAUUUAAAACAAAACCAAAAAACCAACCUGGGAGAGGAGGAAGGAUUUCAUGAUCCUUGUAGUAGAAACCGAUCUUUCCACCUGUCACAUAACUGAAUAAGAAACUAGAAAACAGCUAUAGCUAUGUAUCUAAGUUUGUUUUUUCUUUCCAUAAAGGAACAUCACAAACCAUUUAGGGGUGGUGUUUUCUCCAGAAAUUCAUUAAAAACUUCCCAAGAUUCCUUUGCACACCGGUUACGCACAUCUGAUAUAAAGGUUGAAAUUAUACUGUCAAAAUAGGAAUUACUAAAUAUUUACUUUAUCAAAGUACACAGAAUCAUUUAUCAGACAUGAGCAGUACCUUCACGAGUCAGAGACCCAUUCUUAUAGCACAACAUUACCAUAUAGCCUUCUGUAUCAACAGGGUUAGGAAAAACAUGUCCUUCUAAGCUAGGCUGAGGGUUGCUAGUUAUCCCAAAUACCUAAGCAAUCAGCAAAAGAAUGAUACAAGUAAAAUAAUCUGUAAACAUCUGGAUAGAGAUAUAAAUCACUUCUUUAAGAGGGAACAAUGAUUGAAUUUCUGAUUAUGGUGCUUGUAAGAUGCAAUAUCAAAUUUAAAAAAUAGCAAAUAAGAGAUACUUUAGUUGGAUGCCCCAAAUAGGUCUAUUCAACGAACACUAAUGACUGCUCAAGCUCCAUUUGUUAGGUAGCGCAUUUGACCUUGUUCACCAGCUUCAACAAGCCAAAAUCAUGUUCAGGCUGCUUAACAAAUCAAGCUUGAGCUACAGUAUUCGAAAAUGCAUUACAAUAAAGUGAUGCUUACAAGACUUUCAAAUGCCUAGGCAACUGUACACACAAUAUAAUCCUCCUCUAUGUCUAUAAGUGGUCUUGAGAUUCACUCCAAGAGCACUAAACACUUAGGCAGGCAUUCCAUUAACCAGUGGGCCUAGAACAUACAGAGAUAUUGGACUUGAACCCAAUGUCCCAAAAUGGACUAAUUGGUUAGCAAACUCUAGAGCCAAACUGAAGAUGCUCGACUUAUCUUUCACCCUCUCAGAUUAAAACCUGUCCUAAUCUCAUUUAGCAUCAUGAAUGACUUGAGGUAGGCAUCUUGAAGCUUUAGUAACAUAGUUCAUUUGAGAAAUUUUCCCAAGAAAACACAAGAAGCAACUUAUGUACUAUAAAGCCGGCAAUGCACGGGGAAGAAUUAAGUGAGUUUUAGGACUAUUUGCCCUUGCUAAUACAGGAUCAUGUGUAGGAUUUGAAAAUGAUGAUGCGCGCUUUGUGGUGUAAUCAAAAAGCCAUUAUAAUUGGAACCCAUAUACUUGACAGAUAACAGGAUGUCAAACUAAUAAUCUUGGACCAUCCAUAACCUAAGCUACAGCUUUCUACAAUGGGCUGUAUAUGCUAAACAUUUCCAGACAUGUCAAUUAAGAGGGAACUCAUCUUUUUAAAUGAUAAUGACUAACAAUCUCCAAAAUCUCAGAUGACCCUGUGGUACCAUACAUGAUAUUGAACAACAAAACAACAUAAAAUAGACUGGCAUCAGGAACUAUAAAUCUUGAACUUAAAAAAGUAACUUAGCUGUUUGCAUCCCUGAUUUGGUUGAUGAGAAAUGGCUGAGCCUAUUUUUAAAAUGUGCAGAAGAUGGGUUGUGGAUAUUUGGUGUUCCUUACUUUAUUUUGUCCACUGUCAGAAAGGAAAGAAAUAAGGAGUUGAACCACUGAACCUGGCUGACUCAGUCCUAAAUUGGACUCUUAAAUGCCAAUCUUGACCCAAGCAAGUUGUAGGCCACUGAAUUGAUCAUUUCAUGUUAAAAGGAUGAUAGUUUUAGUGGAUUUAAAAAGCAUAUAGAAGAUAAUUUUAUAAUCAGAUCUCCCAGAAGGUCCAUAUAUAGACACAGAGAUCAACCAAUGCUAAGGAAAAGUCACCAAGGCUGGUCAAUAAACAUGUACAACUAGUACAUUCCAAAAGAACUGUUGACAUAUUUAUUGUUGGCCAUAAACCUCCUUUGUAUUUUUAUUUUUUUUUUAUAAUUCAUUCGAGUCUGCUAUUUUUGAUCUGAAGAAAGUAACCAAAAAGAAAAAAAAAAUAGAAGUUGCUAACUUGAUAUCGAAUUAUGAUAAGAAAGAAUUCAUUGCAAUCGAUAGACUAAUAGUAAAUAAUAAAUAAUAGAACGAUUCUAACUAUAACCAUAUUUCUAAUCCCAGUACACUAUUUAAUUUAAAUGUCUUGUAUGAUACUGUUGCACUAAACUAACAUUUACAUUUAGGUUUUCCCUCAAUUAUUAGUUUAAUUUGAGUAUGAAAUUGGAGUUUCAUUGAGGUGAAAUCCACUUCUAUUCUUUCUCUUACUCAUCCAUUACAAAAUUCUAAAAAAGAGAGAAGAAAAGGAGGGGCCAAGGAAUUAGUCACAAAUAUUUGAUUGUAUCUCCCAAACUCUCCAUCCCUUCUCAUGUCAAUCAAAAAAGGGAAUGUCAACACAUCCGGGUAUAUAUGAUUAAUCUUUAUCAAUAGACUUGCUAAGACCAAAAUCAUAUGGUACUAAAACCAAUGCUGAGGAAGAUUUACAAAGGCUGAACAAUAAAAAAAAUUUACUUUAACUUACAGUGUCACUGGUGCCAAGACUAAUUGCCAGAUCCCCUGGAGUAUUGAGGGUCAAACCUGAGAAUUCAAAAGUCAAAACGAAUUAAUUAUCUGAGAUAAUACAAGGCUAGAAAUAUGAUUAUUAUGGUGGUUCGUUCUUCAUGCUGAGAGUAAAACUUCAAGAGGGAAAAAAAAGAAAUAAAUUAGAGGCUCCAUCAUAUUUACAAAGGAUUAAAUGGACUGUUGGGCUGAAACUGGAGAGAAAAUCCAGUAACAUGAGAAAAUACUUUAUUACUAAGCUAUGAAAUGAAGGUGAUUUAUGAAUGAUAUAAGAUAGAGGACUGAUAUACAUUAUAAUGUGAGAACACGACAAGCUGGAACUAUGGAAAACUACAUAAAUUGCAUUGAACAAUCAUAAAAACACAGGCAAAGAAGUGAAACACAGAUACUAAUGAAUUUGCUAAGGAGAGAAUAUAUUUUGGUUAGAGAUGAAGACAAUCAUGCACCUGCUAGGCUAUUAGGGUUGUCUCCAGACCACUGAACAAUCAAACAAUUCUUGUUAAAGUGGAACCUGAAAGAAGUUUAAUGCAGUCUUUACCUGUCAGUCUCAGUAUACCAGGAUAGCAAGACAUACGAUGUGUACAUGCAGAUAAUAAUUGAUUGUUAGAAAAACAUCAUUAUCAACACUCAUUUCAAAAUAAAAGUAGUGUAUAUAUAACAAAGUUCUGAAUAAUAGCUGUUGCCUUUGAAUUUCAUAUGAUAUCAUUAACUUUUCUUCGUAUCGACUUUCAAUAUCAUCGACCGUAUUCUUUAUCAAGGGCUGCAUGUUUACACUUUACACACACUACCAUCUUCCAAUACCAUAAGUGGUGGUGUAAUGGUUUCCAAUGUUCAGUAAGUGACUGAAAUUGCCUUUGUUUUUUUUUUUGAUAGAUAAACAACAAAAUAUAUUAAAAAAUGCUAAAAAGUUGCACGUAUACAGGGGGUAUACACAUAAGCCCAAAACAAGGAAUUGAAAGAAGAGAGGGGAGAAACCUCGCCCACCCUCAAGUGGCCGCAAGCCACUCCAAAAAGCCUAAGAGAGAAUAGGUUUCCUCUCCAAUGUACACCCUAGCCCAACUCCACAAGUUACAUACAAAAUUUUUUUUGAAUCUCUGAAUAUCUAACGACCCCCCCUGAAAGCUAACCUAUUCCUUUCCUUCCAAACCGUCCAAAAUAUGCACAACGAGAUGGAAUUCCAUAUCUUUUUUUUUUCCCCACAAAAGAACCCCUCCAACUAAGUAACACCUCUUUAACUGACUCUGGGAACACCAACUGAACUCCAAAAAUGGCGAGGGCAAACUCCCAAAGAGUCUUAACCACUGUACAAUGUAAAAGAAUGUGAUUCGCAUUUUCCUCUUCACAGCCACACAAAAAACACCGGUUAGGAAGCUGCCACCCCCUUCUUUGAAGCUUAUCUAAGGUGAGGAUCUUCCCCCACGAAGCUUCCCAAGCAAAAAAAGACACUUUUGUUGGGACCUUAUCCAUCCAAAUGCGUCUAUUAGGGAAGGCACAGGCUGAGGAGCCAAUCAGCAUUUUGUAAGCACCCUUAACCCCAAAAACAUCAUUGCCUUCCCCUUUCCAUCUCACUGAAUCCUCAUCAGGAGAAGUCCUGAAGUCCCUCAGCAGAUUCAGCAUAUCUCCUAUCUGAUCCAACUCCCAAUCAUUGAAAUCUCUAGCCAAACUGAGAUUCCAACCUCCUUGACCCAUGCUAGAGUCCCACACUUCACUUACUUUGGCAUUCCUAUGACCCGCCAAGGUAAACAGCUGUGGAAAAGUUUGUGAUAACGCCUCAUUACCACACCACUUAUCCGUCCAGAACAAAACUCUAGUCCCCUUCCCUACCUUAAAUUCAAUGCUCUCCCAGCACCAAUUAGCCUCCUUCAUGAUCUCCUUCCACAAUCCCACUCCAAAAGACCCACAAACUUCCUUAGUCCUCCACCCACACCCCUCUUGACCAUAUUUCACCCCUAUCACCGUUUUCCAAAGGUUAUCCUUCUCAUAGGCAUAUCUCCAUACCCAUUUGCCCAGCAAGGCUUUGUUCAACAAGUCUCUCUUUCGGAUGCCUAAUCCACCCUCCUCCUUUGGGCUGCAGACCACCUUCCAAUUAAUUAAGUGAGCUUUCCCCUCCAAGCUUCCCCCCCCUAAAGGAAGUCUCUUUGGGAUCUUUGUUAAGAUCUUACUUCAUUUCUUAUUAAGAAAAACAAUCAUUUUUCUAGUUGAAAGGAUUGGGCACUAGUUCUUUUCCCUCCGUUCACUGGCUUGCAUAUACUUUAAAGUACAUGAAAGAAUUAACAUAUGAUGUUGGAUCUAAGAAUAAAUUCACAGGAUAAUAAAAUUCCUAACCCAUAUUUCAAUCAUGGAAGCUCAAAUAUAUAUAUAUAUAGGUUGAUUAAGACAAACAUAACUCACUUUAAAAAUUGAUAAGAAAGCUUAUCCAAUUGAAUGAGAUAUAGUUGCAAACUUUUACUUAGUAGGAGUAAUAAUGAUAAUAAUUAAUAAUCAAAGGAAUUGUUGUUUUACAAUCAGUAUGCUACUCACCUCUCCACAAAAUAGGGGGCAAUAAAACCUGCAACAGCAUGGGCAGGAGCUAACUUUCCAAGUUUUUCCUCCAGACUUGGUGCAGUGGCCUAUAAUAAACAUAAAAGCUCUCAAUUAAAAAAAAAAACUAUAAAGCAAUUGAACAAAAAACUAUAAAGCAAUUGAACAAAAAACUGUAAAGCACUUUAACAAAAAACUGUAAAGCAAAGUUUCAGAUAAGUCUACCGGUGCUUUUGGAAGCCACUGUCACAGAUGAUAAAAUUCAAAACAGUCACAUUUAGUUGAUUUGGAUCAAUCUCAUGGACCCACAGAUCAAGCCUAUGUACUUUGGAAGGUAUGUUAAACAGAACAAUAAUUCACUUUGAUGAGAUUGAUCAUAAAAAAAUAAACCAUUAUGCACAUAAGACUUCGGAAUGUAUGUAAGACACUCUAAUUGAACAUGGAUAACGACUAUAUGUAAAACAAUCUAACUGGACAUGAAUAAUGAGCAUGGUCCAUAAAUAAUACACCAUGAUAUUUCAAAGUAUGAGAAACAGACCUCUAAAGCUAUUUUAGACCAGGCCCUUUGCUUGAUAUCCAUCAAGUUCAUCCCCGCGCCAUCUGUCUCAUCAAUACAAGCGUAAGACCCAAUUAGAAGGGAUGCCAUGAAGGAGCUAACGAGAGAGAUCCUCUCUGUUUGAUUAUAAAUUUCCGGCAGUUUCAAGAAUAUCUUCCGAAUUUGCGGUCCUGUGUAUCUUUCAUGGGCACGUGAACCAGUGAGUCGAGACAAUUCCAACGCUCCUCCAACAGCUUCCUCUAUCUCUCUGCAUUGUUCUGUGGUGCUGCUGUCCAUCCAUAUUGGUGACUCCUUCGUUGAAAAGGCAUCACCAAGCUGACCCACAAGUGGUUUACUGGGAUCCAGUGAUGAAAGUAUUGCAGAACUUCCACUCUUCCAGUAAACACUGCCAUGCUGCUGUCCACUACCAGAAAUCGCAGCAAUUUUUCCAAAAUCCAGUUUUGAUUUUGAGAGUUUCUGAAGUACAAGCUCAAGAGCUUCCACCCACAUCAAAGUGGGUGAAACAAUUCUACCAUUCUCAGAAGCGUCUCUAUAGACCCCAUCUCUGGUUCUGUAAUGGGGCAAUUGGGAAUCAAAAUGAACUAUUUCUGAAGUAACAAGGUUGAGAUUGGAAUCUAACACCGUAGCCUUCAGGGACCUAAACAAUCAAAAUCUUACAAAAUUCAGUUUCCCUUUCUAAUUUAGGUGAUUGAUUAUCAACGAAAAAAAAAACAGAAAAAAUUAACAAAUAGAUUUGAAAAAACGAAAACCAAUUCAUGGAAAUUAUUGAAUCCGAGCAAUGAAAAAUCUAAUAAUCAGAACGUGAAUUUUCUUUAUUUUCUUUUCUCAGCAACCAAACAGAGCACGAUGAAAUUUCACAAAAUGACUAGAUCCCAGAAUAAAAAAUCAAACCAAACCCUGAAAAUAAUGAUGUGGGUACUCCGAUUGAGACACUUACUGAGUAGAACUAUCGAAUCCAAGGAAAAGGGAGUCAUGGGGUAGGGAGCAAUCCUCCAUCGAAGCUGAAUUGGAGCACAGUAGAGACAAUCCAAGAACUCUGGAACUAAUCACUCUGUGAUGCUCUGUUUAUCAGAUUAUUCGAAAUUGACUUGUGAAAAAGGAAAAAUCUAAAGAAUGCAGAUGGCCCGCUACGGAUAAGGAGAAAGAUUAGGAUCAUCGUAAACAUUUUGAACGUCUUAUCCAAAUAACAAAAAUGGAUUAUUUUUUCUUUCCACGUCGAAAUCCAAAAGAUUAUAAAGGAAAUAAAAUAAACUUCCUUUCAAAUUUCAUAACAAUUCCCAGCCCUUUCUAAAUUUUAUUUUUUAUAUUCCAUUACAUUUUCAUUUUUAAAAUUUUUUACCAUAUUUUCAUUUAAAAAUAAUAUAAUCAAAUAUCAUACCAUACUCAUGACUAAUCCAAAAUAUUGAUAGUAUAAUUAUGUAAAUUAUAUUUGAUUUUCCUUUUAUAUUUAUGAUGGUGAUAUUGAUAUGGCCAUGGUCCCAUAAUUGCAACAUCUUCCAUCACUCUCUCGGGUUUGAAUUUUUGUAGAAAACAUUUUUGACCCAUUUUGUGGGAGGGGUGGAUUUCUUGAUGCCACAGAAGAGAAAAUCCCUGUACUUGGUCGUUGAUCGCAAUUUGCCUUUGCCUUUAAUACUUUAACAGAAGUGAUAGUAAGCAAAUUUGUCAGCAUAUGAUGGUCUUAUUUUGUUUUGGCAACAUGUCCAAGGUUAAGAUUGAGGGGCCGCUCACUUCAAAAAUGGGUGAUAUUAUUAUUUUACGUGGGAACUUCAAAUUAGGUGUCAGCCUUCCGCACAAUACUAUUAAGGACUUGAGGGGUGCUGGAUGAAGGUGCGGUUAAUUUAUGAAUCCUAUGACCACGGUUUGACUGUCUUAGAAAUAAAUAAAAGAUGCAGCUAAACAACAAGCGCCCGUGGCCUAAUGGACAAGGCGUCUGACUUCUAAUCAGGCGAUUGUGGGUUCGAGUCCCACCGGGCGUGUGUGCUUGAUUGAUGCCAGGCUGUCCUGGCAAGCUAAAAAUUGUGAACCCCUUUUUCAUUUCAAAACACAAAGCAACAGAUAAAUACAUGAUCAAGGUAUCUGUUUGGUACCUGGCCGAAACCUAUCUAAGAGGGCUAAAAGAUAUUUCGGUUAAACUACUCGUGCCACUCUAAUAUAAAUUUAAUUGUUAAAAAUUGAUUUUGAUUGAUUCAAAUCCAAUAUGGGGAGCCCAAUAAAAAACAAGGAUUUAAAAUUGACCGAUUCAGAUACAAGGGGGCCGUGGGCCCAACUUUCUCAUGGGGUGACAUUAGGUGGUUGGACUUGGACCGGGCCUCCUCUGCCCAAUUGUUUGGGCUAUAUUUUGGAAGGGUUCUAUUCCGGCAAACGAUUAGAAUAACGGACGGGGGUUUGAUUCUGUCUUCUGGGCCAAUGCACGCUUAAUUUUUUUCUUUUUCCCUUUCUUUUUUGUAAUUAUCGUUUCAAAAUCUUGGAAAGAAAUAGACGUCUUGUCUUUUUUUUUUUUCUCUCUCUUUAAUUAUUCUUUCAAAAUCUUGAAAAGCAACAUAUAUCUUGGUAUAGUGUAGCUUUCUAUGUAAACUAGAUUAUAUGGUGUUUUCUCGUCCUUGUUUUUUUCAAUUCUUUUUUUUCUUAAAAAAAAAUUUAUUAUUAUUAUUAUUAUGAAGAAUAAGAAAAAGAAAGUAAACAUGGGAAAAACAUAAAAAUGAAAUUAUUAUUUUUUAAUUUUUAUUAAAUUUUUCUAAUUUCUUUCCCUUGUACUUAUCCAUCAAAAAAUUUCCGAAAAGAUUGAAUCUUGCCUUUAUUUAUUUUUCUUUUACUCCUUUUGAGUGUAUGAGAAGUGCGACCCCUUUAUGUGGUCCGUGAUUGAUCAAAACGUAAAUGCUUUUCCUUUUUCUUUAUCAUGAUUUAUUAUAUGUCUCUUUUUGUUAAGCUUUUCCAAAAAAAAUUUGGCUCUCUCUACUUUUCUAAAACUUUGGCCACUUGACAAAUCGAUUGUUCCUGAAAACUUUAUACCCAAGUUUCCUAAUGAUAUCUAAGAGAAGGUCCAGGACUCAAAAACCAUGGUGACAAAAUUGUCCGAACUUCUAUGGUGACAAAAAGUUAGGAAUCAUAACAACUUUUGUCUAGAUCGUUAUGGAGCACUAAAAAAUUGAGACGCAGAAUCUAGUUCUAAACAUUUUUAAAAUAUUUCCACCAUGAUAAAUUAAUGCAUAGAACUUUUUGUUUUAAACUUCAUGUACUAAAUUUAAUCCCCAGUUUGGAAUGUUUUUCCCCCAUGUGGAUGUGACAUGAUGAUUUUAUAAGAUUGUAUGUGAUGUGCUUUUUAUAAAGUGGAUGUGGCUACACGAAUUAAAUUCAAACAACAAGCGAACGCACGUCAACACCACAUAAAAUGGAUCCGGAAUGAUAGUUUUAGAUUAAUUAACGGUGACCUUUGAAUUAUUAGGGCUGGUGGAAAAGUUGUAAACGGAUCGGAUCUUCUCCCAAAAAGAGUAAAUGAACCCAGAUGCGGAAUUGCACCAUUCAUUUCUCUUGUACUUGGAAGGAGGAGCCAAUUUGGCUGAAUGGCUUGAAUGAGAGACUCCCAUGUCACCAGAGAUUAGGUAGGAAUAUUUGUGCUUCUGCCAUGUCCACCACACACUGGAAGGACAUGGUAUAUAUUAUAUUGUUGGAUCUACCAUUCCAUGAACAAAAUACAUGUGACUAUAAGGUACGUAUAUGAUAUUAUAUGUUAUAAGAAGAAUGAAGUUAAAAACAAGAUUUUCAAAUGUCAUGCAUGAUGUUGAUAGUACUGUUUCAGAAAAGAAAAGAAAGAAAAGAAAAGAAAAAAAGAAAGAUGAAUUCUACUUUUUCCUCC